rnacentral:lncRNA from 1 species
GGGGGGUGGAAAUGAUCGCUCCCUCUUGGUUCUCUUCCUCGCUGCGCCUCUUGGCAGACAAGAUGAAAGCUACCCCAAUUAGAAGUGAAAAUACCCCCACUGAAUUAACCCAUUUCGGGGUAUACAAACAGCUACAACCUGGCUGUAUCAUUGCUGGAUCUCUAUAGAAUGUCUGUGGAUGCGGUGAUAUAACGACUUUGCAGAUUUUUUUAUUUUCUCUCCAUUCUGGGUUGAGAUAGCAAUUGAGGUCACAUCCAAAAGUAGAUGUCUCCCUCCUUCAAUUUGAUAACCUUGGUUCUAAUAACACCUGGUUGUUGAGGAAGAAGUGAAUCUCUCCUCUGCCCUCAGAACACCUCUCUUCCCAUCACCCCGUUGACUGGAAGCUGAAGUGGUUUAUUUUUUGACGUGCCUUUGGAGGCGGAACGGGGAUUGUGAAUGAUGGACAGUUGUACAGGCUUUGUGAUUUGCGCUCUGCAACCGAAGGAACACAUGGAUUUACAUUAUAGGUCCCCGACAUAAAGCAACCCCCCUGCCCCCCUCCACCCUCAUCCUUCAGUUCCACCCAUAUGUUUGCACCACCAUAUCCCACAUCCACGCUCCUAAUCAACAGAGCAAGGCUUUGUCUCACUUCCUCUAUUUUAUAGGAGUGAGUGCUAUCUCCGUCUCUCUGUGCCAUAUCACCCGGCAUGACCUGAGAGAGGAAAGCUAUCACCCCACAGCGCAGGCUUUAUGAGUGCGCUCAGAUGAUGGUGAAACCUUAUGAUUCCUUAUCGGGGAAUAUCAGAAUAUACAUCUGGACACAUUAGCUGGGGGCCCAGUUAGAGAAGACUCGACCUUGUCCGCUUUGGCGCAUUGUAUAAGUCAUAGCUCAAACUAAUUUGAACAUUAAUAAAUAAUUUGGAAAGUGUUAGAGUGCCUUCAUAGAGCCAUCAUAGCGCCUUCAUGGCACCUUCAUAGAGCUUUCGUAACAUCUUCAUAGGGCCUUUAUAACACCUUUGUAGUGCCUUCAUAUUGUCUUCGUAGUGUAAUAACACUUCUCUGGAAAAGAACAACCAUUCAUAGUGCUACUUAAAGAUGUGCUGCUCCUUCCUGACAGUUUUGCUGUUUUUUUGAGAAAGCAUAUCUGGUGUCUUUAAGCUCAUCCACCUGUCACUGUGCUCUUUCAGCAAUUACACAUCUGUCAAGUGUCACCCGGGCUUAGCUCUGACCGACAGGGUUAUGUCAAGCAGUCAGCCAUUACCCAAAUGGUUUAGAGUGGAGGGAUAGUAGGCACAUACUGCGGAAGAGUGAGCAUGGGUCAUUGUAACUGGGAGCUAGGGUUAGGUUAGGAGGGCCAGUGUAACUGGGAGCUAGGGUUAGGUUAGGAGGGCCAGUGUGACUGGGAGCUAGGGUUGUGUUAGGAGGGCCAGUGUGACUGGGAGCUAGAGUUGUGUUAGGAGGGCCAGUGUGACUGGGAGCUAGGGUUGUGUUAGGAGGGCCAGUGUGACUGGGAGCUAGGGUUGUGUUAGGAGGGCCAGUGUGACUGAGAGCUAGGGUUGUGUUAGGAGGGCCAGUGUGACUGAGAGCUAGGGUUGUGUUAGGAGCGCCAGUGUGACUGAGAGCUAGGGUUGUGUUAGGAGGGCCAGUGUGACUGGGAGCUAGGCUUGUGUUAGGAGCGCCAGUGUGACUGAGAGCUAGGGUUGUGUUAGGAGGGCCAGUGUGACUGGGAGCUAGGCUUGUGUUAGGAGCGCCAGUGUGACUGAGAGCUAGGGUUGUGUUAGGAGCGCCAGUGUGACUGGGAGCUAGGCUUGUGUUAGGAGGGCCAGUGUGACUGGGAGCUAGGCUUGUGUUAGGAGGGCCAGUGUGACUGAGAGCUAGGGUUGUGUUAGGAGGGCCAGUGUGACUGGGAGCUAGGGUUGUGUUAGGAGGGCCAGUGUGACUGGGAGCUAGGCUUGUGUUAGGAGGGCCAGUGUGACUGGGAGCUAGGGUUGUGUUAGGAGGGCCAGUGUGACUGGGAGCUAGGCUUGUGUUAGGAGCGCCAGUGUGACUGGGAGCUAGGCUUGUGUUAGGAGCGCCAGUGUGACUGAGAGCUAGGGUUGUGUUAGGAGGGCCAGUGUGACUGGGAGCUAGGGUUGUGUUAGGAGCGCCAGUGUGACUGGGAGCUAGGGUUGUGUUAGGAGGGCCAGUGUGACUGGGAGCUAGGGUUGUGUUAGGAGGGCCAGUGUGACUGGGAGCUAGGGUUGUGUUAGGAGGGCCAGUGUGACUGGGAGCUAGGGUUGUGUUAGGAGGGCCAGUGUGACUAGGAGCUAGGGUUGUGUUAGGAGGGCCAGUGUGACUGAGAGCUAGGGUUGUGUUAGGAGCGCCAGUUGACUGAGAGCUAGGGUUGUGUUAGGAGGGCCAGUGUGACUGGGAGCUAGGGUUGUGUUAGGAGGGCCAGUGUGACUGGGAGCUAGGCUUGUGUUAGGAGCGCCAGUGUGACUGAGAGCUAGGGUUGUGUUAGGAGGGCCAGUGUGACUGGGAGCUAGGGUUGUGUUAGGAGGGCCAGUGUGACUGGGAGCUAGGGUUGUGUUAGGAGGGCCAGUGUGACUGGGAGCUAGGGUUGUGUUAGGAGGGCCAGUGUGACUGGGAGCUAGGGGUGUGUUAGGAGGGCCAGUGUGACUGAGAGCUAGGGUUGUGUUAGGAGGGCCAGUGUGACUGGGAGCUAGGCUUGUGUUAGGAGCGCCAGUGUGACUGAGAGCUAGGGUUGUGUUAGGAGGGCCAGUGUGACUGGGAGCUAG